AACGAACGCUGGCGGCAUGCCUAACACAUGCAAGUCGAGCGCCCGUAGCAAUACGGGAGCGGCGCACGGGUGAGUAACGCGUGGGAACCUGCCCAGAGGUCUGGGACAACCGCGGGAAACUGCGGCUGAUACCGGAUGAUUCCUGAGGGACAAAGAUUUAUCGCCUUUGGAGGGGCCCGCGUCGGAAUUUAGGGUAGUUGGUGGGGUAACGGCUCACCAAGCCUAUGAUCCGUAACUGGUCUGAGAGGAUGACCAGUCACACUGGGACUGAGACACGGCCCAGACUCCUACGGGAGGCAGCAGUGGGGAGUAUUGGACAAUGGGGGGCAACCCUGAUCCAGCAAUGCCGCGUGGGUGAUGAAGGCC
rnacentral:rRNA from 1 species